rnacentral:rRNA from 1 species
AGGCCCUUCGGGGUACACGAGCGGCGAACGGGUGAGUAACACGUGGGUGAUCUGCCUCGUACUUCGGGAUAAGCCUGGGAAACUGGGUCUAAUACCGGAUAUGACCAUNGGAUGCAUGUCUUGUGGUGGAAAGAUUUAUCGGUGCGAGAUGGGCCCGCGGCCUAUCAGCUUGUUGGUGGGGUAAUGGCCUACCAAGGCGACGACGGGUAGCCGACCUGAGAGGGUGACCGGCCACACUGGGACUGAGACACGGCCCAGACUCCUACGGGAGGCAGCAGUGGGGAAUAUUGCACAAUGGGCGGAAGCCUGAUGCAGCGACGCCGCGUGAGGGAUGACGGCCUUCGGGUUGUAAACCUCUUUCGACAGGGACGAAGCGUGAGUGACGGUACCUGUAGAAGAAGCACCGGCCAACUACGUGCCAGCAGCCGCGGUAAUACGUAGGGUGCGAGCG